rnacentral:rRNA from 1 species
UACGUAGGGACCAAGCGUUGUUCGGAUUUACUGGGCGUAAAGCGUGUGUAGGCGGCUUCGCAAGUUGGAUGUGAAAUCCCACGGCUCAACCGUGGACGUGCAUCCAAAACUGCGUCGCUAGAGUCUCGGAGAGGAAGGUGGAAUGCUUGGUGUAGAGGUGAAAUUCGUAGAUAUCAAGCAGAACACCUGCGGCGAAGGCGGCCUUCUGGACGAUGACUGACGCUGAGACACGAAAGCGUGGGGAGCAAACAGG